CCUACGGGAGGCAGCAGUGGGGGAUAUUGCACAAUGGGGGGAACCCUGAUGCAGCGACGCCGCGUGGGUGAAGAAGCGCCUCGGCGCGUAAAGCCCUGUCAGCAGGGAAGAAACUGACGGUACCUGAAGCAGAAGCCCCGGCUAACUACGUGCCAGCCGCCGCGGUAAUACGUAGGGGGCAAGCGUUAUCCGGAUUUACGGGGUGUAAAGGGGGCGCAGACGGCGAUGCAAGCCAGGAGUGAAAGCCCGGGGCCCAACCCCGGGACUGCGCUUGGAACUGCGUGGCUGGAGUGCAGGAGGGGCAGGCGGAAUUCCUGGUGUAGCGGUGAAAUGCGUAGAUAUCAGGAGGAACACCGGUGGCGAAGGCGGCCUGCUGGACUGCAACUGACGUUGAGGCCCGAAAGCGUGGGGAGCAAACAGGAUUAGAUACCCCAGUAGUC
rnacentral:rRNA from 1 species